rnacentral:rRNA from 1 species
CACGUAGGGGGCAAGCGUUGUCCGGAUUUAUUGGGCGUAAAGAGCUCGUAGGCGGUUCGGUAAGUUGGGUGUGAAACCUCCAGGCUCAACCUGGAGACGCCACCCGAUACUGCUGUGACUAGAGUCCGGUAGGGGGAGCGUGGAAUUCCUGGUGUAGCGGUGAAAUGCGCAGAUAUCAGGAGGAACACCAGCGGCGAAGGCGGCGCUCUGGGCCGGAACUGACGCUGAGGAGCGAAAGCGUGGGUAGCAAACAGG